CAUGCAAGUCGAGCGAAGCAAUUUAAAUGAGACUUCGGUGGAUUUUAAAUUGACUGAGCGGCGGACGGGUGAGUAACGCGUGGAUAACCUGCCUCACACAGGGGGAUAACAGUUAGAAAUGACUGCUAAUACCGCAUAAGCGCACGGUACCGCAUGGUACAGUGUGAAAAACUCCGGUGGUGUGAGAUGGAUCCGCGUCUGAUUAGGUAGUUGGUGAGGUAACGGCCCACCAAGCCGACGAUCAGUAGCCGACCUGAGAGGGUGACCGGCUACAUUGGGACUGAGACACGGCCCAAACUCCUACGGGAGGCAGCAGUGGGGAAUAUUGCACAAUGGGCGAAAGCCUGAUGCAGCAACGCCGCGUGAGUGAAGAAGUAUCUCGGUAUGUAAAGCUCUAUCAGCAGGGAAGAAAAUGACGGUACCUGACUAAGAAGCCCCGGCUAACUACGUGCCAGCAGCCGCGGUAAUACGUAGGGGGCAAGCGUUAUCCGGAUUUACUGGGUGUAAAGGGAGCGCAGACGGCAUUGCAAGUCUGAAGUGAAAGCCCGGGGCUCAACCCCGGGACUGCUUUGGAAACUGUAGAGCUAGAGUGCUGGAGAGGCAAGCGGAAUUCCUAGUGUAGCGGUGAAAUGCGUAGAUAUUAGGAAGAACACCAGUGGCGAAGGCGGCUUGCUGGACAGUAACUGACGUUCAGGCUCGAAAGCGUGGGGAGCAAACAGGAUUA
rnacentral:rRNA from 1 species